rnacentral:tRNA from 1 species
GGGGCUGUAGCUCAGUGAUAGAGCACUUGCCUCACAUGUGUGAGGUACUGGGUUCGAUCCUCAGCACCA